GACGAACGCUGGCGGCGUGCUUAACACAUGCAAGUCGAACGAACAGGUCCUGCUUUUGUUGGUUGCUCGAUUGGCGAACAGGUGAGUAACACGUGAGUAAACUCCCCCUGUCAUUCUGGUAAAUUCAGGGGACUGCGGCUCAUACCGCGGAGGAGCUACUGCUCCAUAUUGGUCGUUAGUAAAUUUCGGCUGUUUGGGAUGGACUCGCUGCUUAUGCGCUUCUUUGGGUGGUUGGUGCUUACCAAGUCUGUGAAGGGUAGCCGGCCUGGGAGGGUGACCGGCCACAUUGGGACUGCGAGACGGCGCAGAAGCCUACGGGAGGCAGCAGUGGGGAAUAUUGCACAAUGGGCGGAAGCCUGAUGCAGCAACGCCGCGUGCGGGAUGACGGCCUUCGGGUUGUAAACCGCUUUCGACGGUGACGAAGAGGGAGUGACGGUAAUGGGUAAAGAAGCACCGGCUAACUACGUG
rnacentral:rRNA from 1 species